GACGAACGCUGGCGGCGUGCCUAAUACAUGCAAGUCGAACGGAAAGGCCCUGCUCUUGCGGCGCGCUCGAGUGGCGAACGGGUGAGUAUCGCGCGUGUAACCUCUCCCUGUCUUUGGGAUAACUCUUGGAAACUCGGGCUCUUAUCCCGUAUGAGCUCUUGCUGCAUGGUGGGGGAUGGUAAGUGUCGGCGGUGCGGGAUGGACUCGCGGCUUAUCAGCUUGUUGGUGUGGUAGUGGCUUACCAAGGCUUCGACGGGUAGCCGGCCUGAGAGGGUGACCGGCCACAAUAGGACUACGGUACGGCCCAGACUCCUACGGGAGGCAACGGUGGAAAGUAUUACGGAGUGAGCGGACGCCUGAUACAACGGCGCCGCGUGCGGAAUAACGGCCUACGGGUUAUAAACCACUUUCGCCUGUGACGAAGAGUGAGUGACGGUAAUGAAUAAGAAAGCACCGGCUAACUACGUG
rnacentral:rRNA from 1 species